AAUUCGAUGCAACGCGAAAACCUUACCCACCUUUGACAUGGCAGGAAUCCUGAAGAGAUUUGGGAGUGCUCGAAAGAGAACCUGCACACAGGUGCUGCAUGGCUGUCGUCAGCUCGUGUCGUGAGAUGUUGGGUUAAGUCCCGCAACGAGCGCAACCCUUGCCAUUAGUUGCUACGAAAGGGCACUCUAAUGGGACUGCCGGUGACAAACCGGAGGAAGGUGGGGAUGACGUCAAGUCCUCAUGGCCCUUAUAGGUGGGGCUACACACGUCAUACAAUGGCCGGUACAGAGGGUAGCCAACCCGCGAGGGGGAGCCAAUCCCACAAAGCCGGUCGUAGUCCGGAUCGCAGUCUGCAACUCGACUGCGUGAAGUCGGAAUCGCUAGUAAUCGCGGAUCAGCAUGUCGCGGUGAAUACGUUCCCGGGUCUU
rnacentral:rRNA from 1 species